rnacentral:rRNA from 1 species
AGUGAACGCUGGCGGUAGGCCUAACACAUGCAAGUCGAACGGCAGCACAGUAAGAGCUUGCUCUUACGGGUGGCGAGGGGCGGACGGGUGAGGGAUACAUCGGAAUCUACUUGUUCGUGGGGGAUAACGUAGGGAAACUUACGCUAAUACCUCAUACGACCUACGGGUGAAAGCAGGGGAUCUUCGUACCUCGCGCGAUUGAAUGAGCCGAUGUCGGAGUAGCUAGGGUGCGGGGUAAAGGCCCACCAAGGCGACGAUCCGGAGCUGGUAUGAGAGGAUGAGCUGCCACGCCGGAGCUGAGGGACGGUCCAGACGCGUACGGGAGGCAGCAGUGGGGAAUAUUGGACAAUGGGGGCAAGCAUAAUCCAGCAAUACCGCGUGGGUGAAGAAGGCCUUCUGUUUGUAAAGCCAUGUUGUUGGGAAAGAAAAGCAGCAGGUUAAUAGCACAAUGUUCUGACGGUACCCGAAGAAUAAGCAACGGCUAACUUCGUG